UGCCAGCCGCCGCGGUAACACGGGGGGCGCAAGCGUUAUUCGGAAUUAUUGGGCGUAAAGGGCGCGCAGGCGGUCUUGUCCGGUCAGGUGUGAAAGCUCGGGGGCUCAACCCCGGAAGUGCACUCGAAACAGCAAGACUUGAAUACGGUAGAGGAGAGAGGAAUUCCUGGUGUAGAGGUGAAGUUCGUAGAUAUCAGGAGGAACACCGAUGGCGAAGGCAUCUCUCUGGGUCGAUAUUGACGCUGAGGGGGGGAGGCGUGGGUUGCGAACCGGAUUAGAUA
rnacentral:rRNA from 1 species